UACGAAGGGGGCUAGCGUUGCUCGGAAUUACUGGGCGUAAAGGGCGCGUAGGCGGAUAGUUUAGUCAGAGGUAAAAGCCCAGGGCUCAACCUUGGAACUGCCUUUGAUACUGGCUAUCUUGAGUUCGGGAGAGGUGAGUGGAAUGCCGAGUGUAGAGGUGAAAUCGUAGAUAUUCGGCGGAACACCAGUGGCGAAGGCGACUCACUGGCCCGGUACU
rnacentral:rRNA from 1 species